rnacentral:rRNA from 1 species
GAUGAACGCUAGCGGCAGGCCUAAUACAUGCAAGUCGAGGGGUAGAAGAGGCUUGCUUCUUUGAGACCGGCGCACGGGUGCGUAACGCGUAUGCAACCUACCUUCAUCUGGGGGAUAGCCCGGAGAAAUCCGGAUUAAUACCGCAUAAAAUCACAGGAUGGCAUUAUCCAAUGAUCAAACAUUUAUGGGAUGGAGAUGGGCAUGCGUGUCAUUAGCUAGUUGGCGGGGUAACGGCCCACCAAGGCGACGAUGACUAGGGGAUCUGAGAGGAUGGCCCCCCACACUGGUACUGAGACACGGACCAGACUCCUACGGGAGGCAGCAGUAAGGAAUAUUGGUCAAUGGAGGCAACUCUGAACCAGCCAUGCCGCGUGCAGGAAGACUGCCCUAUGGGUUGUAAACUGCUUUUACUCGGGAAUAAACCUUAUUACGUGUAAUAAGCUGAAUGUACCGAAGGAAUAAGGAUCGGCUAACUACGUGCCAGCAGCCGCCGUAACAC